AACGGCCGCGGUAUCCUAACCGUGCAAAGGUAGCAUAAUCACUUGCCUAUUAAUUGUAGGCUAGAAUGAAAGGGUUAACGAAAUAAAAACUGUCUCAAUUAAUCACCUAAAAAUUAUUUUCUAUUUGAAGAAAAAUAGAUAUUCUCGAAGGACAAGAAGACCCUAUAGAGCUUAAUUUUAAUUAUAGAACUAUAACUAUAAAAAUAUUCGGUUGGGGCGACCCAGGGAUAAAUAAUCACCCACUACAUAAAAGAUAUAUUAAUCAAAUAAAUGACCCUUUUAAGAUCAUAAGACCAAGCUACCUUAGGGAUAACAGGCUAAUCCCACUCAAGAGUCCUUAUCAACAGUGGGGUUUGGCACCUCGAUGUUGGCUUAGG
rnacentral:rRNA from 1 species